GACGAACGCUGGCGGCGUGCUUAACACAUGCAAGUCGAACGGACAGGCCCUGCUUUUGUGGGGUGCUCGAGUGGCGAACGGGUGAGUAACACAUGAGUAUCCUCCCCUUGACUUUCUGAUAACUUCAGGAAACAGCGGCGAAUACCGGAUAUGAUCUCCUGCUGCACGUGGUUGGUUGGAAAGAUUCGGCGUUUGGGGAUGGACUCGCGGCUUAUCAGCUUGUUGGUGGGGUAGUGGCUUACAAAGCCUUUGACGGGUAGCCCGCCUGGGAGGGGGACCGGGGACAUUGGGACUGAGAUACGGACCAGAAGCGUACCGGCGGCAGCAGGGGAGAAUAUUGCAGAAUGGGCGGAAGCGUGAUGCAGCAACGCCGCGUGCGGGAUGACGGCCUACGGGUUGUAAACCGAUUUCGAAGGUGACGAAGAGUGAGUGACGGUAAUGGGUAAAAAAGCACCGGCUAACUACGUG
rnacentral:rRNA from 1 species